GACGAACGCUGGCGGCGUGCUUAACACAUGCAAGUCUUACGCGAAGGUCUUCCUUCUCUGGCUUGCUCGGGUGGCGGACGGGGUAGUACGUCAUGAGUAUCCUGUCCAUUCAUUUGGGAUAGAUUCAGGCAACUGGUGAUAAUUCCGGAUAGCAGCUCCUGCCGCAUGGUGGGGGUUGGAAAGAAGCGCGGCUUGGGGAGAGUCUUGCGGCUUAUCAUCUUGUUGGUGGGGUAGUGGCUCACCAAGGGGAUGACAGGUCGGCGGGCUGAGAGGGGGGACGGCCACAAGGGGACUGAGAUACGGACCUUACUGCGACGGGAGGCAGCAGUGGGGAAUAUUGGACAAGGGGGGGAACCCUGAUCCAGCAAUGCUGUGUGCACGAUGAAGGUUUUCGGAGUGUAAAGUGCUUUCAGCAGGGAAGAAAAAAAUGACGGUACCUGCAGAAGAAGCGACGGCUAAAUACGUG
rnacentral:rRNA from 1 species